UACGAAGGGGGCUAGCGUUGCUCGGAAUCACUGGGCGUAAAGGGUGCGCAGGCGGGUCUUUAAGUCAGGGGUGAAAUCCUGGAGCUCAACUCCAGAACUGCCUUUGAUACUGAAGAUCUUGAGUUCGGGAGAGGUGAGUGGAACUGCGAGUGUAGAGGUGAAAUUCGUAGAUAUUCGCAAGAACACCAGUGGCGAAGGCGGCCGACUGGACCAUUACUGACGCUGAGGCGCGAAAGCGUGGGGAGCAAACAGG
rnacentral:rRNA from 1 species